AAUAGAUACCCAGGUAGUCCACGCCGUAAACGAUGAGUGCUAAGUGUUAGGGGGGUUUCCGCCCCUUAGUGCUGCAGCUAACGCAUUAAGCACUCCGCCUGGGGAGUACGGUCGCAAGACUGAAACUCAAAGGAAUUGACGGGGGCCCGCACAAGCGGUGGAGCAUGUGGUUUAAUUCGAAGCAACGCGAAGAACCUUACCAGGUCUUGACAUCCCAUUGACCGCUAUGGAGACAUAGCUUUCCCUUCGGGGACAGUGGUGACAGGUGGUGCAUGGUUGUCGUCAGCUCGUGUCGUGAGAUGUUGGGUUAAGUCCCGCAACGAGCGCAACCCUUGUUCUUAGUUGCCAUCAUUUAGUUGGGCACUCUAAGGAGACUGCCGGUGACAAACCGGGAGGAAGGUGGGGAUGACGUCAAAUCAUCAUGCCCCUUAUGACCUGGGCUACACACGUGCUACAAUGGACGGUACAAACGGUUGCCAACCCGCGAGGGGAGCUAAUCCGAUAAAACCGUUCUCAGUUCGGAUUGUAGGCUGCAACUCGCCUAC
rnacentral:rRNA from 1 species